rnacentral:rRNA from 1 species
UACGUAGGCAGCGAGCGUUGUUCGGAAUUACUGGGCGUAAAGAGUGUGUAGGCGGUGUUCCCAGUCUGUUGUGAAAUCUCCCGGCUUAACUGGGAGGGUGCAGCGGAAACUAGAAUGCUAGAGGGUGGGAGAGGUAAGCGGAAUUCCUGGUGUAGCGGUGAAAUGCGUAGAUAUCAGGAGGAACACCUGUGGUGUAGACAGCUUACUGGACCACUUCUGACGCUGAGACACGAAGGCGUGGGUAGCAAACAGG